UAAACUAGGAUUAGAUACCCUAUUAUUUUACUUAUUAGAUUUAAGGGUAGUAUUAGUUAUGUUCUUGAAACCCAAAGAAUUUGGCGGUAUUUUAGUCUAUUUAGAGGAAUUUGCCCCGUUAUCGAUAAUCCUCGUUUUAUCUUACUUAUUUUUGUUUAUCAGUAUGUAUACUUCCGUUACAAGUUUAUUUUUAUAGAAUAUUUACUUAAUAAUUUAUUUAUUAAUAUUUCAGGUCAAUGUGCAGCUAAUAAUUAAGUGGAGGUGAAUUACAUUAUUUUAAUAAAUGGAUUUUUAACUGAAAAGUUUAAUUGAAAGUGGAUUUAAUAGUAAUUUUGUUAAUAAUAGUAAUUUGAUUUUAGCUCUAAAAUGAGUACACAUCG
rnacentral:rRNA from 1 species